UGGCAUGGCAGUUUUGGACAAACUGCUCUAGAAUCUGGAGCAUAAGUCUCAACGCCCUGACUUUUUAUAGUUCCUCAGAUCUAAAAAUUCAUACGGACGGAAAUGGACAGAUCGCGGUUUUUAUUAUUUUACGAAAAUUGAAGCAGUAGUCAACCUGCGCUGCAUAUAGGCUUAGUCCCAACUAGCACUUAAGGUUCGCGAUGUUCCCAAGUUCAUACAAUCGGGCAGACGGACAAAAGACCAUGGGAAAGCACGACUCGUUUUGUAAUCAUAGACUACAGAGAACUCAUAUACACCCACUUACAAAAAAUCCAAUUUAAUUUUUCGCUGCUCAAGUCACAAAACUAUUGACAAUGAAGACAAACCCGGAUCAAAUAAAACCACAAGGUCCACCCAAAUAAUACGCCUCUAAGAGAAGGAAUUGAACAACAUUGUAAAUGAACCAACACCACCAAAAACGAAACAGGACGUAGAAGAUUAAUUGCCCUUCAUACCUAAAAUAUUGGAAAUGUAAAGCGACAGCUAACUGAGCUCGCCAACCGUUGAAAUCCGACGAACAUAGCGUAAGGCUCGG